CUCGCAAUAUUUUUCGAUUAUUGCGUCCAGUCGAUAUCAGAUCUGUUUAAAAGCACUGUCGAAGGUACGAUUUGACUCAUAUGACGAGUCUCGAUCGUACGCAGUUCUCUUUGUAAACGAUCCAAUCACGCGACACGACCGUCAAGAAUGCAGACUCAGGGGGGAGGAUAUGUAAAUAAACUCGUACCACCUUCGUACGAGGAGUCUACGAAUCCGCAUCCAGUAUACAGUGUGGCUUAUCACCAACCAUCGGCGCCUACUAACUCGCAACGUACCGAAUUUUCGGGGAACCAUGUUCAAUCACCGAACAACUCAUCGCAUACAGAGCCUACAGUGGUGCACGUUAUCGCAACACCGUAUUGGGCGGCAGGCAAGAAACGACGCUGCUUGUACACCUUCAUAUCGAUGCUCUCGAUCGUGCUAUGUAUAAUAAUCUUUGUAAGGGUAUUGGUGAUGUUAGCGUGAUGAGUCUGCAAGACAUUAGAGCUGCUUCUUAUGGUUUCUUUGAUUCCCAAUUGAAAUACACGGCGUGCCAUGGACACUGAGAUUCGAUACUAAUACUCUGGAUAAAGUGAUAAGGAACAUAAGUAAAUAACUUCGUUAACGAGCCGCACGAUGGAUACGACGUUCGAUUUUUUUCACCUAUGACCCUCCAUUUAUGUUAAGUACUACAAAAAAAUAUAUAAAAAUGGAUGAGAAGAUCGUUUUUAUGGAAAACGAAUAAACGUUGUUACGAGUGAUUUAA